rfam:Otolemur garnettii contig042967, whole genome shotgun sequence.
CUAGGGUACCCACCAUGGGGCCUUGGGAGGAUCAGAAGGUCUCCCACAUUGGAGACCAGACAUCCCUGUUUAAUAUUUAAACAGCAGUGUUCCCC